rnacentral:rRNA from 1 species
UAAUACGUAGGGAGCAAGCGUUGUCCGGAAUCAUUGGGCGUAAAGCGCGCGUAGGCGGCCCUGUAAGUCCGUUGUGAAAGUCAAAGGCUCAACCUUUGAAAGCCGAUGGAUACUGCAGGGCUAGAGUCCGGAAGAGGCGAGUGGAAUUCCUGGUGUAGCGGUGGAAUGCGCAGAUAUCAGGAGGAACACCAAUAGCGAAGGCAGCUCGCUGG